UUUUUUUGGUGGUGGUGGGAGGGGGAGUUGGGGUAGGGAAGAGGGUAGGAGAUAGAAAGGGCAGUUUUAAGAUGCCCCAGGCCCCAUAGCUGCUGGUGAAUAAACCCCCAUAGGUGGUGAGCAGACCACGGAGAGAGCUGGGCUCGACCAAGGUUUACACUAAACAGCUAUGUUUUCAGGAAGUGGCCUUUUGGAAAGAUCAGGGACUCCUGUGGCUAGAGGAUUAGUGGGGGUGAUACUCAUUCCACAGAGGUUGAAACUUGGGAUCAUGGAGUUUGCUAUUGGAAAGUGAGUGACCCCAAAUUUGGAGCCGCGUCCUGCCUUGGUGACCUAGAGGCAGGCUCUCUGCUGUGUAUCGGUGGCUGCCGCAGUGAGGGGACAGACUUGAUUUCCUACUGGGAAGUGUGUUGGCUUCCCCAGCCUCUCUGAUGAUCAGUGUGGGCCUGGUGUCUGCUACCUCCAUCCUCUCUGAAGGAGCGUGGAGGAGCCCUUCCUCUGUAAGAGCCUUAAGCCUGGCUUGUGUCUUAAAAGGACGCAUUAAUCAUUCUGGGUCUACCCUUUUUUGUUAAUGCCAGGGGAGGGGACAUCUAGCCUUUAAGCAUAAACACUGGCUGACUUUCUCUUGGCUUUUCUCCUGGCUGCUGAGACUUCUCCAGGUAUUUCUGUAUGAUGAACAUACCUUGUCUGUCUGUAGAGCUUCACCACCUACCCGUGGGUCCGCCUCACCGGGCAGCUGCUGCCCCGCCUCCUCCCAGCCCGGAGGCAGCUUAGGCAGGUCACCCCUAGUAGCAGCUGCUCCUGCAGCUCUUCCCACCAGCUCCUUUUCCCUGUUGGAGGGCCUUACACACUCUGGGGUAUUGUCCCUAGAGAAGAGACGAGGAGAUGGCUGAUGGGGAGUGUGCCUGUGUGCGUGUUUGUGCACUGUUCAGUUACACCAAAAGUGGGGCUUCAGGCACUUUCUUUCUCUGUUUUCAUAAGCAUCCUGUCAGACUCGCAACUCUCCUACUCAUAGAAGCCUUAGAUCUACAACUUAGCUAUGCAAAUUAUUUUAAUAAUUUAAAAAUAGCAGUUCCAACCAGCGCACCAAGUUUGGAUGGUGAAUGGACAGAGUUGGAGUGGGCCUUCAGGUUGAGGCUGGUGCAGUAGGAGCUAGCUAGCCCAGGUUUCCAGCUUGCAGAGCACGCUCACAACCUGGGCUACAGCUGAUGCCUCUAAGGCCCUGGAGCACUGGGAUCCCAGAGGGGGGGUGUGUGUGUGUGUGUGUGUGGGUGUGGGUGGGUGUGUGUGGGUGGGUGUACACGUGUGCACGCGCGUCUGGGAAGAGGUAAUUUUGUGUGCACCUCUANAAACUCACAGCAGCAGGUUCUGAGAAUCCAGAAACUAUCCCAGCAAGGAACUGAAAGCAGCCCCUGGAGGGAUGGGUAUUCUGAGAGGCAGCACAUGCCUGCUCUCCACCCAGGGCUUCCAGGGUCUGGGUCUGUAGUUUUGGGAGGCUAGACCUGGCUAGAGAAGGCUUUGAUCUGUGCAGCUUGUACUGUUCAGGCAUUUGGGGGUGGGAUCAUGGGAAACUGGAGUACUGCCAGUUCCGUGUUGUUUUUAUGAACGUGGUAGCACCUCUGACCUUCCUGCAGUCUCGGUGCGUGCCGGUGUGUGCACCACGCAGGAGCAUGUGUGUGAGGGAAGCAGGGACCGUCUCAGCCUGAGCACCAGGUCCUGCAGCUUCUUUGAUCAGACACACUUGGUGGUGGCUUCCACCGUGAGGGAAGGAUGGUGACAGGCGGGAGGGCAGAUCAGGCCUGGGCGUUUUCCCUCCCUCUCGUCUUCCACAGGAAGCUUUCAAAGGCCUCCCAAGCCCCAUCCAGCUGGUUUCGCCUGAAUUCUCAGCGAGGGAAUAUAGCACAACUUGAUUCAGGAUCACCUUGUGUAGUGAUGUUCCAUUUCCUUUCCUUAGUAUCUUUGUGGAGAAGAAUUGAACAGAGACAAAGUAGCCACUUAAGUGAACCGUGUUGGAUCAGAUCUCUCUCCAGAUUGAAUGUUUGCAAAGCCCUCACCCUCUCGAGUUGUGCGUAAGCAUCUUUCUCGUCAUCUGCUGGUUUCGGGAUAACUCCGGUCCUUGGAACUCUCUUCCCUAGGAAUUAGUGUAUGAAAUUUAUAUACUUGUGAUUCACAAAUACGAAAUUUCCCACCCCAGCGCCUGAAGCAAAGCUAGGGUACAUUUUGCUGAUAGGUUGAAACACUCAACCAAACUUGAGGCAUCUGGGAGGGACUGUCCUUCCCCACGUUGUUAGCAGGGCACGGCCCCUGCCCGUCCGUUCAGGCCUGGCGCUGCUCUGGAACCGAGCCCCUUCCCAUGUGGAAGAUCUCCUGGGGGCGUUACAUUCCUUGUUCCUAGUGUUCCCGGCCAUGACCCCCUUCCUCCUCCCAGUUCCUCCGAAGACCAGUCUUUCUUCUGAACCGUGGCCUCCUGUACAGCCAGCUAAUGGCUCUUCUCCCACCAAAACCCCUGAGAGAGGAGCUGCUUUCCCCAGUGGACCCCCAGGAGACUUUCUGGCCCCCUGCUGUCUGUUCCAAGGAACCCGCACCUCGAGGCCUGUCUGGGAAUUCUUUGCUGCGUCACCCUCACCCUCGUCCCCUUGUACUGCGCCUCUCUUCUGCCCUGAGUACUCCACUGUCGCCCCUUAAUGUCUGUCUGUGCCACUAGCUUGGCCCUGGGCCUUUUAUGAGUACCCACGUCUUAGAUGAGCUUCCUGAGCAGGUGGCGUCCAACUUCUCUGCUCUUCAGGGACCUGAGUCUGCCUGUGUGACCUAGUACUCAGUGCAUCUGCAUCGGGAGGGGUAGCCAGGCAGGCUGCAGGGUCUGUGGGGCAGAGGCUGGGAGAGAUUGGGGUACUUCCUGUUACCACUACUGGGGUGAUCUUCAGAAGAGGGGCGACCUCAUACUGUGACCUGACCCAGGACCCUCCCCUGGGAGAGAGCUCAGCCCAGGUGUGUGUGUGUGAGUGUGAGUGAGAGUGUGAGCAUGCACACACGCCUGCUCGUGUGCACGUGAGUGUAAACUGACUUGUCUGGUUGUUACUCAGGGUGGGCUGGGGACUCACCGGAAGAAUCCCCUUAGCCUGCUCAAGACUGGUUUUUUCCUGUGCCCUCUCCAGAGGGGUCAGGGGAAGGAGGUCCAGGUGGGUUGAGGGGGUUGCAGUGGAUAACCACUAAGUCCACAUCGCUGCCAGGAGGAGUGGGGGGAGAUGAGGUGGCCCCAGGGACCUGGCACCCGGCUUUGGUUUUCCGUCUUCUUUCCUCAGGACGCCCCCUGAGGCCUGGACUGCACCUGGCUUUGAGGAGCACCUGUGGCUGGUGCUCUAGCUGCGGGUGUGGUCAUGGGCUUCCCUCCUCGGUAGGGCAGGUGCUCCUGCCCCAGAGACUGGGCAACUGGCUGUUUCUAUGACGUAUUUAUUUUUACUUGUGUUUCAUGUCACUUUUUUAAAAAAAGCAAACAGAACAAUUGUAAGUCAGUAUAACUGCCUAUCAGUUUUCUUUAUUUCUCUUUUUGUAAAAUAAAAUUUAAACUCAAGAAGGCAA